UUAAAGAAAUUUGAUCCCUCAAAUUUGCCUCUUACUCUUGAUCGAACAAAUGGGGGUAUUGGGCUCUAAAGUCUGAUUCUAGCUCCCAUGUAGCCUCCCUUGGUGUGUGGUUCUGCCAUACGACCUUUACAAAGGAUAUUUUUUGAUUGCAGAGUAAUCUACUCUUUCGAUCCGUAAUGUCGACUGGUACUUCCUUGUAGGAUAAGUCCUCUUGGAGUGGGAGAGGUUCGUGGGCCAAGACAUGAGAGGGGUCCGGGUUGUACUUGCGUAGCAUGGA
rnacentral:lncRNA from 1 species